rnacentral:tRNA from 2 species
CGGGGAGUACCUCAGUUGGUAGAGGCGAAGCUUUGGGUGCUUCGAGUCGUGGGUUCGAGUCCCAUCUCCCCGACCA